AUUAUAUUACACUUAUUUUGUAUUUUUACAUAUGUAAGUAUUAAUUUUCAUUUAUUCACUCAAUAAAUGAUUAUUAAGAGCUAAUUUUCUGCUUACAAGUAAAUAUUGGGUUAUAAAGUAUGAACAAAACAUACAAUAGCCUUGCCCUCCAGAAAUUAAAGUAUGUCAGGGAAGAUUGGCCCAACCUUAGAUAAACAUGUGUUAACCUUUUCUUAACGAUUUCUCCAUUAUUUUUAAAUUCAAAAAAACUCUCAGUACAGAAAUUUACAGAUAUUUCCUUUUCAUAUAGGUUGUUUUAAUAGUUUGAUUCCUUAAAUUUAACUCUUCAAUUACUGGAAUUUCUUAGAUGAAUGGUGGCAAAUGAAACUCUAAAUUAAGCUCUUUAUUAAGCAUCAAACUAAUUUAUUGAGUCAUCUUUCCCUUCUUUCAAGUCUUUAAUGCUUCUUUGAUCAUAUACUCUUAAUCUAAUUGGGUCUGUUUCUAGGCUAUCAAUUCUGUUCAGCUGAUCAUCUAAUUUUCUCUUCUAUGUUCCUUUUCUCUUAUUCUUUUGUUUAUAGUUAAUUUUAAC
rnacentral:lncRNA from 1 species